AGAGUUUGAUCCUGGCUCAGGAUUAACGCUGGCGGCGUGCCUUAUCAAUGCGAGUCGAACGGUACGGACACUUCGGUGUCACGACCGUGGCGUCCGGGUGAGUAACACGUGGGUGAUCUGCCUCUUUGUGGGGGAUAACCCCGGGAAACCGGGGACAAUACCGCAUACGAUCACCGGAAUGCGUUCCGGUGAUGAAAGAUUUAUCGCAGAGAGAGGAGCCCGCGGUCGAUUAGCUUGUUGGCGGGGUAAAAGCCCACCAAGGCUGAGAUCGAUAGCUGGUCUGAGAGGAUGAGCAGCCACACUGGGACUGAAACAUGGUCCUGAGCCCUACGGGGUUUAGCAUGAAGGAAUCUUGCGCAAUGGGGGAAACCCUGACGCAGCNACGCCGCGUGGACGAUGAAGGCUCUUGGGUCGUAAAGUCCUUUUCCGAGUGAUGAUGAUGACA
rnacentral:rRNA from 1 species